UUGUUGUUGAAUUCUUUUUUCAACGUUUUUUAUUUAUUUUUGGGACAGAGAGAGACAGAGCAUGAGCGGGGGAGGGGCAGAGAGAGAGGGAGACACAGAAUCGGAAACAGGCUCCAGGCUCCGAGCCAUCAGCCCAGAGCCUGACGCGGGGCUCGAACUCAUGGACUGCGAGAUCGUGACCUGGCUGAAGUCGGACGCUUAACCGACUGCGCCACCCAGGCGCCCCUGUUGUUGAAUUAUUAAAUCAUUUUUUGUUUGCUUUCUUGGUAUGUGAGAAAGGUCCACCUGGCACCUUGAGCCUUAAACCUAAACCAUAAAGGAAGCAUCACUAUUAACUUCUUUCUAAAAAAAAUAGUGCCUCUGGACAACUAAUAUUUAUUGAGCCUUUACCAUGUAUUAGGCACAAGGUUUUAUGUUUCGCAUUCUUAUUGAAUCCUCAUUGUAAUCUAUAGGUCAAUAAUAUCUUUUCGCCAUACUUUAGAUUAAGAAGCUAGAACUUUCAGGGGCACCUGGGUGGCACAGUUGGUUAAGCAACCGACUUCGGCUCGGGUCAUGAUCUCAGUUUGUGGGCUCAAGCCUCCAUGGGGCUCUGUGCUGACAGCCCUGAGCCUGGAGCCCACUUCCGAUUCUGUGUCUCCCUCUCCCUCUGCCCCUCCCCCACUCGUGCUUUGUUUCUGUCUCAAAAAUGAAUACACAUUAAAAAAAAAAAAAGCUAGAACUUUCAGAGAUUGGUAAUUUUCCCAAGGUUCUACAACUAAUAAGCAGUGAAGAUGUAACUCUACCCUUACCCAUGCAGCCCCUGGACAUGCCCUCCUAGCCAAUGCUUUGCACGGCCCCUCUGACUGGGGCCCUGGGGAGUUAGUGUAGUUCAAAACCCAGAAAGCCGGUGCCUCCCACUUGCCACCUUCUUCUGCCUAUUUUCUUCUUCCUCGCUCUCUUGACCUCGUUAACCCUCCCGUGUUAAAGCCAGUGAAAAAGGAGGAAGGCAUGAAUACAACUGCACCCCUAUUUCUUCCUGCUGCUUCAUAGCUAGCUAUUUGAAAUUCUUUGGUUCCUUUAUUCAGGCAUUUUUGUUUUAAUGUUUAUUUAUUUAUUUGGAGAGAGAUAGAGACAGCAUGAAUGGGGGAAGGCAGAGAGGGAGAGAGAAUCCCCAGCAGGCUCCGCGCUGUCGGCACAAAGCCUGAUGGGGGGGUCCAUCUCACAUGGGGCCCAAUCUCAUGAACCUGAGCUGAAACCAAGAGUCAGAGGCUUAACUGACUGAGCCACCCAGGUGCCCCAUGCUGGCAUUUAUCUGCCAAGCAUGCAAAGAUAGAGAAGACCCGCUCGCUGCCUUUCGCAGUUAAAGUCCAUGCUCCAAAAAGGCUUGGAGAGGGGCUGUAAUGGCAGCAGUUUCUAGCUACUUCAGCCAUCGUAGGUAUGAUUGGAUGUUCCCAUCCUUUGUUUAAGGCCUGACAAAGUCCCAUUACAGCUUCCUACUCGCAAAAAUUUAGGCUACACCAGAUGAUUUAAAUGGUGUCCAGCAAAGAGUAGAAGAGCCCUGAGGCCAAGGUCCAUGAGUCUGGAGAUAAGGUAAGAAACUGUAUGUAAAACAAAAAAGGCAAGGCCAGGAAACAAGGUAGUAACCAAAGGAGAGGGACAAAAAUAGGUAAAAACUUAGAAUUCAGGAAUAAGACAGAACUAGAAAUUCUAAACUGGAUGACUGGUCAAGAAUCAGAAAGUCCGUGGGUAAUGGAAAGGUCAAGGCAUGCUAGGUAUUUCGGGGUAUGAACUGGCUAGAGCAGUGGGUAAAUUCGUGUUGACGUGUCUCAGGGGGUGUUCAGAAAUCAGAAUUUUUUUUAAUAUUUAUUUUUGGGGGAGUGCAAGCGGGGGCGGGGUUGGGGCAGAGAGAGGGGGACAGAGGAUCUGAAGUGGGCUCUGUGCUGACAGGCUGACAGCAGUGAGCCCAAUGUGGGGCUCGAACCCACGAACGGCGAGAUCGUGACCUGAGCCGAAAUCGGUUGCUCAACCGAUGGAGCCACCCAGGUGCCCCCAGAAAUCGGAAGUUUAAUUUGGCACAACUACUGUCCCAGCCAAGAAGCAGGAGGAAAUCUGAAGUCAAGGACCUGAUCCGUUCAGUCCUUCUGUACCCAGACUGCUUUCCAUUGCCUACAAAACUUACAAAGAUGCAACAAGCUGAAUCCAUCAUUCAAACUACCCAUCUGAUACAAAAAAAAAGUGUGGGCAUCCAAAGUGUCCUCUGAAAGAACGACAUGUAAGCAGAGAGAAGCUGUUAACCUGGAGGCUUCAUAUUAAAUGGGAAAUGGAAACAGCAGAGCCAAUUAUAGACAGAAAAACUGAGAACAGAGAGAUUACUUAACCUGCAUGGAGUCACAGGAUUCACAAGUAUUGAGCGCUAUGAUUCAAACGCAGAGAUUUUGGCUCCAGACUCUGAUUCUUUUAACUUCCAAAUUUGAUAGCCUUUCCAGAGAAACAUGUCCUGAGUGCCUACUACAGACCAAACACAAAAAUAAAACUUUAGUUUUUAGAAAACAUCAAUAAAACUCUGGAGUAAUAUACAGAAGUAGCUGGGAUACUUAACCCAGCUAAAGGGGAUAAGGAAGGUCUCCCAGAAGGAUGAACUAAAAUCUGGAGCAUCUUCAGGGCAAGAAGCAAUGGAAAAUGAGGCUGGAGAGUCAGCAGAGACAGAUCACAGCGGAGUCGCAUCAACUAGCUUACGCCUAAUCUUGCAGUUAGGAGCUUUUAAUCGAGUGGUUACCCACUGACGUAAGAGUUUUGCCAAUAUUACCCUGGCAUCUGUGCGAACAUGAUGUGAGGAGAAUCAGAUCGACAACAGGGACGGCGAUUAGGAGGCUGUGUUGUGCAGGGUAAAAGAUGUGGUCGAGGAUGGUGGUAACCAUGACGAUGAUGGCACGUGCUUGCCUGAACGAGGGCAUCACUACCUCUGCCACGGCCUGAAGUGGACUGUUCUCUCCAGGCCACGUUGAAUCCCCCACCUUUCGUCCACCUUCCUUCGGUAUCCACCUGCUACAGCCCCGCAUGGCCCCUACAACUUUGCUUGGAUAAGUGGAUUGCAAAUCAAGCUUGUAGUUCUUAUACUCAAACGGAGAGACGACGUCAUGUACGGAGGUGAACAUUCAGCCAGGGAUCGUAGCAUCUGGAUUCAGUUCUGGUGUUGCUUUUGAUUACUUGUGUCUCUUAACAUCUAGGAAUAUAUUUCAUUAUCCGUACAAACAGGGGCACUUUUGGAAAGGCCAGAAAUAGAGAAGGUGUCCAUAGCUUUUUCAGGGAUGAAUGUUACCUAUCUCCUGAAUACUAAAUGGUUAUUUUAUUAUAAUCCUGGGAAGUCUUUAAAUGUCUUUUUCUUAUUUUGAAAGAGACACCUCCGUUUUAUCAUUUUGCCUAAAACAAGCUUACAGUUAUUACCUUUAAAUCUGCAAACUAGCCAGGCUGUGCCCUUGGUUCACUUCUUUGGAAAUUCUAUGGAAGUCAGUGGCAUGUGGAAAUGAUUAUCUGACAGCUGAGCCUGGCCUGUGUUCCUGUGUGAUUAGCAUGGCGGGAGGCCAGAUAGAACUUGGGAAGCAAAGGGCUGUAUUUGCAUGAACAGUGCCCCUGGAACGUAAAUUUUAAAGGGGAUGCAUGAGGGAAAUAAUGACUCCAACAGACCCGUCUCGUCCUCUGUUUUCAUCUUCACCUACCAAGCACCCUUUGCUGUAAAGAUACAAGAUA